GGUAAAUCAGCAGUGGGUUCACAGCAGAUGAAGUGGCAUGGUACACGUUCAGGUCGGGAUUUGCUUCCACCGCAUGUUUUGCCAUGGCUGCCAUUGCUGUGUUCACUACCAUAUCCACAGAACUCAGACUGAUCCAAGGAAUUCGAAGGAAGAGGAAAAGUAGCCACUUACAAAGUCGACCACAGCUUGAGGGUCACCAAAAAAGCCCGGGAGCUGCCCUUUGCCAUAGGCCAAGAGAAAUGGAUCCACCAUUCUGUUAGCGAAAGUUGGGGCUUUUAUUCUUCUUCAAGAGUAGUGAAUGAGCCAGAAGAAGCUAUCCUUUUCUGUAUCCUUUGAUGGAGAAAACGAAAAGAAGGAAACGAUUUUACCUGUUGCCUUGUAUCAAGCCGGGGAAAGGCUCUUUGUAGGAGCUUUCGAUGGCACUUGGUCGUAUGAUCACAACAGGCAGAUUGCCUCGGGAGCUUUCUAUCACCAUCUCUCCCAUUGCUUUGGUGAAAGUGUAGGUAUCUUGAUACCCAUGGGUUUUGGCUCUGGUUUUGACAAAGAUUGAACAUGAAAGUUAUAGCCUCUAAAGAUGCAGUGAAGUUACAGAAACUGGUCUGCGACAUGUAUGAGUGAAAAUGAGAAAGGAUAGCUGCACCGUUCAUGACCAAGUUCCUUCAUUUUUCGGGUCAAUUCUCCGUGACGGGAAGAUCUUGUAGCUUCUGAAGCUAGCUCCACCUCAGAUUCAAUUUUCAAUCUGCCAAGAGGAGUCUCAGUUUUCAACGGUGUGUGGCCUGUAAAAUCCUACCGGUUGAGAAAUGCAGAAAAAGAUUCAGUUUUUCGCAUUUCUUGGUAAAUCUCAUGAGCUGGUCGGGUCCCAGUUUGUUGGUGCUGAGAGCCAAAUCGGACCUGUUCCGUUUAGCAUUUCUUUU